AUUGAACGCUGGCGGCAGGCCUAACACAUGCAAGUCGAACGAGUGGCGGACGGGUGAGUAAUGUCUGGGAAACUGCCCGAUGGAGGGGGAUAACUACUGGAAAAGGUAGCUAAUACCGCAUACCAUCGGAUGUGCCCAGAUGGGAUUAGCGAGUAGGUGGGGUAACGGCUCACCUAGGCGACGAUCCCUAGCUGGUCUGAGAGGAUGCACAGCCACACUGGCACUGAGACACGGUCCAGACUCCUACGGGAGGCAGCAGUGGGUAAUAUUGCACAGUGGGCGCAAGCCUGAUACAGCCAUGCCGCGUGUAUGAAGAAGGCCUUCGGGUUGUAAAGUACUUUCAGCGAGGAGUCGUUACUCGCAGAAGAAGCACCGGCUAACUCCGUGCCAGCCGCCGCGGUAAUUC
rnacentral:rRNA from 1 species